UGUCAGCAAGGAGACGCCCACAAACUCCUCUGGGGGAGUGGGAAGAAAGUUCCACACACUGGACCUUCCUGUCUUAAACUCACCUUUCUCCAAGUCCCUCCCCCCGCUGCCUGUGACCACUGCCUAGCUCGGCACCGCACACGGAGCCUCGCGCCUGCGUCUCUGCUCAGUCAAGACCUGCUGAGGACAGUGGCCGAUUCUUCUCCUUGUCGGGUAUUUUCUACUGCUAGGCGGUGGCUCCCCGGGCUAGACACAGUCUAACUGUUCGGUGUAUUUUCGCUAAACUGAACGUGGAUAAUUUGACCUUGGAUAACGGAGUAGACUGACCCAGUGACGGGGGAGGGAGCGUGUGGAGGCCCAGUUCCGUCCUUCCCAGUUUUCUGUUCCUGGCUUUCUGCUUAGGUUGUGGGGUCGUGUGUUCUUCCUGUCACCCCCUUGAAGGAGCAUCGACUUACAAGCCCAAGGCCCAAAGACGGAAGUUUGGAACAAAACAAAGAGAAACUUAGUCUGAGAGAUUUAAGAGUGAGGGUGAAGCUGCCUGUUCGUUCGUUGCCGGCCCAGGGCCUGCCCGGCAGGGCUGGGUGUACUCACCGAGGCAGCGCAGGGACACCAGGGAGCCCGAGAGACACGGCCUGCAAGGGAGACACGGGGCCUGUGGUUUCCGUUGCUCCCUUGGCUGGGAGGCGAGGCCUCGGGGCCGCUGGCACCGUUGACCCCAGCCCCCUCCCAGCACCUGGGAGAUCUGGGACCCCCGUACCGGGGGCCUGCAUGGCCGGGACCUGACCGCUCGGUACAGUUCUGCCUCGUCCGAGCCCCUCCUGAGCUCUUGGCAGCCCGGACUGACCUGGUCCAGUUCUUCAGAACCUUACAGUAGGGAUGGCAACUGACCAGUCCGUUGGCAGGUGCCAUGCAGUGGACCGGGAGGACCUGAGCGGGCUUCCUGCUGUGCGCCCCCCCCCGUUCCCUCGAACCCCUGGACUCACCUGCCACUGGGGGCUCAUCGGGGAAGUUCCUGACGCAGAGCUGCUCGUCCUCCCCGGAGGCGCAGUCCUGCCGGCCGUCACACACCUGCCUCCUCGGGAUGAAGUGGAGAGGCCGUCCGCAGAGGAAGUAGUACUUGUCCAGAAUCACCUUGACUGCAGGGCAGGGGCGGGCAGUGAAGGCUGACAGUCAGGAGGCAGCAAGGGGGCGGGAGAGGCUGUAUGCCCCUAAAAACAUGCUGGGCUCUAAGACAGGUGAGGGUUCCAGACCCGUUAUGCCACUUGGGAGCCCAUGUGCUUGGUCCUGAGCCUCCGUUUCCUUAUCUGUAAAGUAAUAUCUGUCCUGUGCCUGUGAGCUGGCUGAGGAGUCCAGCAAGAGGAUGUGUGGCAGAGAUUUCGGAACGGCCCUCGCUGGCCCCACGCCCCCUGGGGCUGGUCAGGAAGACCACCCUGAGCCUGGAGCCCGAAGGGAGGGUGCUGGCCCUGCCUACUCCGGUGAGACCUUAGGCCCAUCCGCGCCCCCCCCCCCCCGGGGCCUCUGUCCUCAGCUGUGCAGCAAGCUGAGGUCGGCGGCAGCAUUUGGCGAGCCGGCGGUUGUGAGCGCCAAGUGCAGUUCUAGAAUCAGGUGUCUUCACCAGGGACGGAAGGACCAUCAAGAGGCGGGGGUGUUGCUGUGUCUGCCCGCUGCUCCCGAGCUCGGCUCUGGGCUGAUGGGAACGAGCCUCGUGUUUGUAACUCUUCGGGGAGCAGAUACUUGGACACAUUUCUAAAGUCUCCUGGUGGGGAGAGCGCCUCCGGCCUGGCCAGGCACUCCCCCUGCCGUCCACUGUCCUCCUGGUGAGCCCCGCCGGUGGGGGGUCAGUAUGACCGUGGCCUCGCUCCUCACCGCUGAGCGCUUUCAGGCGGUGCCUCAUGUAAUCCUGACCAGUUCGGAGGCAGGUGCCGUAAGCAGCUCACAUCACAAGUGGGGACACUGACCAGUGGACUGACGAACGGGUCAAGAAGAUGUGGUGUGUCUAUACAAGGGAGCACUACUUGGCAACGAGAAAGGAUGAAACCCAGCCAUUGGCAACAACGUGGAUGGAACUGGAGGGGGUUCUGCUGAGUGAAAUAAGUCAGAUGGAGAAAGAUACCCUAUGACGUCAUUCAUCGGUGGAACCUGAGAAACUUAACUGAAGACUAUGGGGAAGGGAAGGGAAGAUAGUUACAGAGAGGGAGGGAGGGAAGCCAUAAGAGACUUGUGAAUGCAGAGAACAAACGGAUGGUUGAAGGGGGGCGGGGGCGGGGAGAAAUGGGCGAUGGACACUUGUUGAGAUGGGUGUUGUAUGUAAGCGAUGAAUCAUGGGAAUCUACCCCAAAACCAAGAGCACACUGUAU